rnacentral:rRNA from 1 species
UACAGAGGUCUCAAGCGUUGUUCGGAUUCAUUGGGCGUAAAGGGUGCGUAGGCGGCGCGGUAAGUCGGGUGUGAAAUCUCGGAGCUUAACUCCGAAACUGCAUUCGAUACUGCCGUGCUUGAGGACUGGAGAGGAGACUGGAAUUUACGGUGUAGCGGUGAAAUGCGUAGAUAUCGGAAGGAACACCUGUGGCGAAAGCGGCGCACUGGACCAUAACUGACGCUGAGGCGCGAAAGCUAGGGGAGCAAACAGG